rnacentral:rRNA from 1 species
ACGCUCGACACCUACUGGAGGCAGCAGUAGGGAAUCUUCCACAAUGGGCGCAAGCCUGAUGGAGCAACACCGCGUGAGUGAAGAAGGGUUUCGGCCCGUAAAGCUCUGUUGUUGGAGAAGAACGUGCGUGAGAGUAACUGUUCACGCAGUGACGGUAUCCAACCAGAAAGUCACGGCUAACUACGUGCUAGCAGCCGCGGUAAUCUGAGCGGGCUGGCAAGGC